CCUACGGGAGGCAGCAGUGAGGAAUAUUGGUCAAUGGACGAGAGUCUGAACCAGCCAAGUAGCGUGAAGGAUGACUGCCCUAUGGGUUGUAAACUUCUUUUAUAAAGGAAUAAAACGUGGCACGUGUGCCAUUUUGUAUGUACCUUAUGAAUAAGGAUCGGCUAACUCCGUGCCAGCAGCCGCGGUAAUACGGAGGAUCCGAGCGUUAUCCGGAUUUAUUGGGUUUAAAGGGAGCGUAGGUGGGUUGUUAAGUCAGUUGUGAAAGUUUGCGGCUCAACCGUAAAAUUGCAGUUGAAACUGGCAGUCUUGAGUACAGUAGAGGUGAGCGGAAUUCGUGGUGUAGCGGUGAAAUGCUUAGAUAUCACGAAGAACUCCGAUUGCGAAGGCAGUUCACUAAACUGCGACUGACACUGAGGCUCGAAAGUGUGGGUAUCAAACAGGAUUAGAUACCCGUGUAGUC
rnacentral:rRNA from 1 species